CCUACGGGUGGCAGCAGUGAGGAAUAUUGGUCAAUGGACGAGAGUCUGAACCAGCCAAGUAGCGUGAAGGAUGACUGCCCUAUGGGUUGUAAACUUCUUUUAUAUAGGAAUAAACUGUUCCACGUGUGGGUUUUUGUAUGUACCAUAUGAAUAAGGAUCGGCUAACUCCGUGCCAGCAGCCGCGGUAAUACGGAGGAUCCGAGCGUUAUCCGGAUUUAUUGGGUUUAAAGGGAGCGUAGGUGGAUGGUUAAGUCAGUUGUGAAAGUUUGCGGCUCAACCGUGAAAUUGCAGUUGAAACUGGCAGGCUUGAGAGCAGUAGAGGUAGGCGGAAUGCGUGGUGUAGCGGUGAAAUGCUUAGAUAUCACGAAGAACUCCGAUUGCGAAGGCAGCUCACUGGACUGCAACUGACACUGAGGCUCGAAAGUGUGGGUAGCAAACAGGAUUAGAUACCCCAGUAGUC
rnacentral:rRNA from 1 species